rnacentral:rRNA from 1 species
UGCAAGUCGAACGGCAGCGGGGGCUUCGGCCUGCCGGCGAGUGGCGAACGGGUGAGUAAUGCAUCGGAACGUACCCAGUCGUGGGGGAUAACUACGCGAAAGCGUAGCUAAUACCGCAUACGCCCUGAGGGGGAAAGCGGGGGACCUUCGGGCCUCGCGCGAUUGGAGCGGCUGAUGUCGGAUUAGCUAGUUGGUGGGGUAAAGGCCUACCAAGGCGACGAUCCGUAGCUGGUCUGAGAGGAUGAUCAGCCACACUGGGACUGAGACACGGCCCAGACUCCUACGGGAGGCAGCAGUGGGGAAUUUUGGACAAUGGGCGCAAGCCUGAUCCAGCCAUGCCGCGUGAGUGAAGAAGGCCUUCGGGUUGUAAAGCUCUUUCAGACGGAAAGAAAUCGGGCGCGUGAAUAGCGUGCUUGGAUGACGGUACUGUCAGAAGAAGCACCGGCUAACUACGUGCCAGCAGCCGCGGUAAUACGUAGGGUGCGAGCGUUAAUCGGAAUUACUGGGCGUAAAGCGUGCGCAGGCGGUUGUGUAAGACAGGUGUGAAAUCCCCGGGCUUAACCUGGGAACUGCGCUUGUGACUGCACGGCUAGAGUACGGCAGAGGGGGGUGGAAUUCCACGUGUAGCAGUGAAAUGCGUAGAUAUGUGGAGGAACACCGAUGGCGA